rnacentral:rRNA from 1 species
GCAGUCGAGGGGCAUCUCUUCCUUCGGGAAGAAGCGACCGGCGAACGGGUGCGUAACACGUAUGCAACCUACCCUAUACAGGGAGAUAGCCCGGAGAAAUCCGGAUUAAUACCCCAUAUUACAUUUUACUGCAUGGUAGAAUGUUGAAAGCUGAGGCGGUAUAGGAUGGGCAUGCGUCCCAUUAGCUAGUUGGUGAGGUAAAGGCUCACCAAGGCGACGAUGGGUAGGGGGCCUGAGAGGGUGAUCCCCCACACUGGUACUGAGACACGGACCAGACUCCUACGGGAGGCAGCAGUAAGGAAUAUUGGUCAAUGGGCGCAAGCCUGAACCAGCCAUGCCGCGUGCAGGAAGACGGCCCUACGGGUUGUAAACUGCUUUUAUACGGGAAGAACUCCCCCUACGUGUAGGGGGCUGACGGUACCGUAAGAAUAAGGAUCGGCUAACUCCGUGCCAGCAGCCGCGGUAAUACGGAGGAUCCAAGCGUUAUCCGGAUUCAUUGGGUUUAAAGGGUGCGUAGGCGGUGCGUUAAGUCAGGGGUGAAAUUUGGCAGCUCAACUGUCAAACUGCCUUUGAUACUGGCGCGCUUGAAUGUGAUUGAGGUAGGCGGAAUGCGGCAUGUAGCGGUGAAAUGCGUAGAUAUGCCGCAGAACACCAAUAGCGAAGGCAGCUUACCAAGUCAUGAUUGACGCUGAUGCACGAAAGCGUGGGUAGCGAACAGGAUUAGAUACCCUGGUAGUCCACGCUGUAAACGAUGAUAACUCGACGUUAGCGAUACACAGUUAGCGUCCAAGCGAAAGCGUUAAGUUAUCCACCUGGGGAGUACGAUCGCAAGGUUGAAACUCAAAGGAAUUGACGGGGGCCCGCACAAGCGGUGGAGCAUGUGGUUUAAUUCGAUGAUACGCGAGGAACCUUACCAGGGCUUAAAUGGGGAACGACGUUUUGGGAAACCAGAAUUUCUUCGGACGGUCCUCAAGGUGCUGCAUGGUUGUCGUCAGCUCGUGCCGUGAGGGGGUUGGGUUAAGUCCCGCAACGAGCGCAACCCCUACUGUUAGUUGCCAACGG